rnacentral:rRNA from 1 species
GGUAUGCUUACACAUGCAAGUCGAACGAAAGUCUUCGGAUUUUAGUGGCGGACGGGUGAGUAACGCGUGAGGAUCUGCCUAUAGGUUGGGGACAACAGAUGGAAACGUCUGCUAAUACCCAAUGUGCCGAGAGGUGAAAGCUUUAGUGCCUGUAGAUGAGCUCGCGUCCGAUUAGCUAGUUGGUAGGGUAAAGGCUUACCAAGGCGACGAUCGGUAGCUGGUCUGAGAGGAUGAUCAGCCACACUGGGACUGAGACACGGCCCAGACUCCUACGGGAGGCAGCAGUGGGGAAUUUUCCGCAAUGGGCGAAAGCCUGACGGAGCAAUACCGCGUGCGGGACGAAGGCUUUUGGGUCGUAAACCGCUUUUGUUAGGGAAGAACACAAUGACGGUACCUAACGAAUCAGCAUCGGCUAACUCCGUGCCAGCAGCCGCGGUAAUACGGGGGAUGCAAGCGUUAUCCGGAAUUAUUGGGCGUAAAGCGUCCGCAGGUGGUUUAUCAAGUCUGCUGUCAAAUCGUAGGGCUUAACCCUAUAAAGGCAGUGGAAACUGAGAGACUAGAGUACGGUAGGGGUAGCGGGAAUUCCCAGUGUAGCGGUGAAAUGCGUAGAUAUUGGGAAGAACACCAGCGGCGAAGGCGCGCUACUGGGCCGAAACUGACACUCAUGGACGAAAGCUAGGGGAGCGAAAGGGAUUAG